AACCCUAAUGGCCAAACCUGCCGUGAGACAGGGACGGAAAGCUACAGGUCUAUGUUUUGAUGUCAUUAGAUGGCUGAGCUGCGCAG
rfam:Oceanospirillum sp. MED92 scf_1099521380394 genomic scaffold, whole genome shotgun sequence.